rnacentral:snoRNA from 1 species
UGUUGAGUGCAUUUCAGGGCUGCUUCCAUGUUCUGUUAAUUAAACAUUGGAACAUUGAAAUUGGCUGAGGGAAGUGAUUAAAUGGAAAGUAUUACUCUAUUCAUAUACCUCUAGCUCGCAUAC